rnacentral:rRNA from 1 species
UACGAAGGGGGCUAGCGUUGCUCGGAAUUACUGGGCGUAAAGGGCGCGUAGGCGGAUAUUUAAGUUAGAGGUGAAAACCCAGGGCUCAACCCUGGAAUAGCCUUUAAUACUGGAUAUCUUGAGUUCGGGAGAGGUGAGUGGAACUCCGAGUGUAGAGGUGAAAUUCGUAGAUAUUCGGAAGAACACCCGUGGCUAAGGCGGCUCUCUAGUACGGUACUGACGCUGAGACGCGAAAGCGUGGGGAGCGAACAGG